GACGAACGCUGGCGGCGUGCUUAACACAUGCAAGUCGAGCGGAAAGGCCCUGCUUUUGUGGGGUGCUCGAGUGGCGAACAGGUGAGUAACACGUGAGUAACCUGCCCUUGACUUUGGGAUAACUUCAGGAAACUGGGGCUAAUACCGGAUAGGAGCUCCUGCUGCAUGGUGGGGGUUGGAAAGUUUCGGCGGUUGGGGAUGGACUCGCGGCUUAUCAGCUUGUUGGUGGGGUAGUGGCUUACCAAGGCUUUGACGGGUAGCCGGCCUGAGAGGGUGACCGGCCACAUUGGGACUGAGAUACGGCCCAGACUCCUACGGGAGGCAGCAGUGGGGAAUAUUGCACAAUGGGCGGAAGCCUGAUGCAGCAACGCCGCGUGCGGGAUGACGGCCUUCGGGUUGUAAACCGCUUUCGCCUGUGACGAAGCGUGAGUGACGGUAAUGGGUAAAGAAGCACCGGCUAACUACGUG
rnacentral:rRNA from 1 species